AACGAACGCUGGCGGCAGGCUUAACACAUGCAAGUCGAACGGACGUAGCAAUACGUUAGUGGCAGACGGGUGAGUAACGCGUGGGAAUAUGCCCUAUGGUUUGGAAUAACUCAGGGAAACUUGAGCUAAUACCGGAUAAGCCCGAGAGGGGAAAGAUUUAUCGCCAUUGGAGUAGCCCGCGUCUGAUUAGCUAGUUGGUGAGGUAAUGGCUCACCAAGGCGACGAUCAGUAGCUGGUCUGAGAGGAUGAUCAGCCACACUGGGACUGAGACACGGCCCAGACUCCUACGGGAGGCAGCAGUGGGGAAUAUUGGACAAUGGGGGCAACCCUGAUCCAGCCAUGCCGCGUGAGUGAUGAAGGCCUUAGGGUUGUAAAACUCUUUUGUCCGGGAAGAUAAUGACUGUACCGGAAGAAUAAGCCCCGGCUAACUUCGUG
rnacentral:rRNA from 1 species